GACGAACGCUGGCGGCGUGCUUAACACAUGCAAGUCGAACGGAAAGGCCCUGCUUUUGUGGGGUGCUCGAGUGGCGAACGGGUGAGUAACACGUGAGUAACCUGCCCUUGACUUUGGGAUAACUUCAGGAAACUGGGGCUAAUACCGGAUAGCAGCUCCUGCUGCAUGGUGGGGGUUGGAAAGUUUCGGCGGUUGGGGAUGGACGCGCGGAUUAUCAGCUUGUUGGUUGGGGAGUGGCUUACCAAGGCUUUGACCGGUAGCCGGCCUGAGAGGGUGGACGGCCACAUUGGGACUAAGGUAGGCCCCAGCCGCGUACGGGGGGCAGCGGUGGCAAGUCUUGCACAGUGGGCCGAAGCCUGAUGCAGCAGCGCCGCGUUCGGAAUGACGGCCUUCGGGUUGUAAACCGCUUUCGCCUAUUACGAAGCGUUAGUGACGGUAAUGGGUAAAGAAGCACCGGCUAACUACGUG
rnacentral:rRNA from 1 species